GGGUGGUAAUGCCGGAUGCUCCAUCACACCGCAUGGUGUGUUGGGAAAGCCUUUGCGGCAUGGGAUGGGGUCGCGUCCUAUCAGCUUGAUGGCGGGGUAACGGCCCACCAUGGCUUCGACGGGUAGCCGGCCUGAGAGGGCGACCGGCCACAUUGGGACUGAGAUACGGCCCAGACUCCUACGGGAGGCAGCAGUGGGGAAUAUUGCACAAUGGGCGCAAGCCUGAUGCAGCGACGCCGCGUGAGGGAUGGAGGCCUUCGGGUUGUAAACCUCUUUUGUUAGGGAGCAAGGCAUUUUGUGUUGAGUGUACCUUUCGAAUAAGCACCGGCUAACUACGUGCCAGCAGCCGCGGUAAUACGUAGGGUGCAAGCGUUAUCCGGAAUUAUUGGGCGUAAAGGGCUCGUAGGCGGUUCGUCGCGUCCGGUGUGAAAGUCCAUCGCUUAACGGUGGAUCCGCGCCGGGUACGGGCGGGCUUGAGUGCGGUAGGGGAGACUGGAAUUCCCGGUGUAACGGUGGAAUGUGUAGAUAUC
rnacentral:rRNA from 1 species